UAUAAUAUCGUGAUGACAAUUUCAUACCCACUACUGAGCAAAAAAUGCUGAAAUUUUACUCAACAUGCACUACCAUCUGAACAAUUU